UACGGGGGGGGCAAGCGUUGUUCGGAAUUACUGGGCGUAAAGGGCUCGUAGGCGGCCAACUAAGUCGGACGUGAAAUCCCCAGGCUCAACCUGGGAACUGCGUCUGAUACUGGAUGGCUUGAAUCCGGGAGAGGGAUGCAGAAUUCCAGGUGUAGCGGUGAAAUGCGUAGAUAUCUGGAGGAAUACCGGUGGCGAAGGCGGCAUCCUGGACCGGCAUUGACGCUGAGGAGCGAAAGCCAGGGUAGCAAACGGG
rnacentral:rRNA from 1 species